rnacentral:rRNA from 1 species
GAACUUAAGCAUAUCAAUAAGCGGAGGAAAAGAAACUAACAAGGAUUCCCCUAGUAGCGGCGAGCGAAGCGGGAAGAGCUCAAAUUUAUAAUCUGGCACCUUCGGUGUCCGAGUUGUAAUCUCUAGAAAUGUUUUCCGCGUUGGACCGCACACAAGUCUGUUGGAAUACAGCGGCAUAGUGGUGAGACCCCCGUAUAUGGUGCGGACGCCCAGCGCUUUGUGAUACAUUUUCGAAGAGUCGAGUUGUUUGGGAAUGCAGCUCAAAUUGGGUGGUAAAUUCCAUCUAAAGCUAAAUAUUGGCGAGAGACCGAUAGCGAACAAGUACCGUGAGGGAAAGAUGAAAAGCACUUUGGAAAGAGAGUUAACAGUACGUGAAAUUGUUGGAAGGGAAACGCUUGAAGUCAGACUUGCUUGCCGAGCAAUCGGUUUGCAGGCCAGCAUCAGUUUUCCGGGAUGGAUAAUGGUAGAGAGAAGGUAGCAGUUUCGGCUGUGUUAUAGCUCUCUGCUGGAUACAUCUUGGGGGACUGAGGAACGCAGUGUGCCUUUUGGCGGGGGUU